rnacentral:rRNA from 1 species
UUAAGCGACUAAGCGUACACGGUGGAUGCCCUGGCAGUCAGAGGCGAUGAAGGACGUGCUAAUCUGCGAUAAGCGUCGGUAAGGUGAUAUGAACCGUUAUAACCGGCGAUUUCCGAAUGGGGAAACCCAGUGUGAUUCGUCACACUAUCAUUAACUGAAUCCAUAGGUUAAUGAGGCGAACCGGGGGAACUGAAACAUCUAAGUACCCCGAGGAAAAGAAAUCAACCGAGAUUCCCCCAGUAGCGGCGAGCGAACGGGGAGCAGCCCAGAGCCUGAAUCAGUGUGUGUGUUAGUGGAAGCGUCUGGAAAGGCGCGCGAUACAGGGUGACAGCCCCGUACACAAAAAUGCACAUACUGUGAGCUCGAUGAGUAGGGCGGGACACGUGGUAUCCUGUCUGAAUAUGGGGGGACCAUCCUCCAAGGCUAAAUACUCCUGACUGACCGAUAGUGAACCAGUACCGUGAGGGAAAGGCGAAAAGAACCCCGGCGAGGGGAGUGAAAAAGAACCUGAAACCGUGUACGUACAAGCAGUGGGAGCCUCUUUUAUGGGGUGACUGCGUACCUUUUGUAUAAUGGGUCAGCGACUUAUAUUCUGUAGCAAGGUUAACCGAAUAGGGGAGCCGAAGGGAAACCGAGUCUUAACCGGGCGUUAAGUUGCAGGGUAUAGACCCGAAACCCGGUGAUCUAGCCAUGGGCAGGUUGAAGGUUGGGUAACACUAACUGGAGGACCGAACCGACUAAUGUUGAAAAAUUAGCGGAUGACUUGUGGCUGGGGGUGAAAGGCCAAUCAAACCGGGAGAUAGCUGGUUCUCCCCGAAAGCUAUUUAGGUAGCGCCUCGUGAAUUCAUCUCCGGGGGUAGAGCACUGUUUCGGCAAGGGGGUCAUCCCGACUUACCAACCCGAUGCAAACUGCGAAUACCGGAGAAUGUUAUCACGGGAGACACACGGCGGGUGCUAACGUCCGUCGUGAAGAGGGAAACAACCCAGACCGCCAGCUAAGGUCCCAAAGUCAUGGUUAAGUGGGAAACGAUGUGGGAAGGCCCAGACAGCCAGGAUGUUGGCUUAGAAGCAGCCAUCAUUUAAAGAAAGCGUAAUAGCUCACUGGUCGAGUCGGCCUGCGCGGAAGAUGUAACGGGGCUAAACCAUGCACCGAAGCUGCGGCAGCGACACUGUGUGUUGUUGGGUAGGGGAGCGUUCUGUAAGCCUGUGAAGGGGUACUGUGAGGUAUGCUGGAGGUAUCAGAAGUGCGAAUGCUGACAUAAGUAACGAUAAAGCGGGUGAAAAGCCCGCUCGCCGGAAGACCAAGGGUUCCUGUCCAACGUUAAUCGGGGCAGGGUGAGUCGACCCCUAAGGCGAGGCCGAAAGGCGUAGUCGAUGGGAAACAGGUUAAUAUUCCUGUACUUGGUGUUACUGCGAAGGGGGGACGGAGAAGGCUAUGUUGGCCGGGCGACGGUUGUCCCGGUUUAAGCGUGUAGGCUGGUUUUCCAGGCAAAUCCGGAAAAUCAAGGCUGAGGCGUGAUGACGAGGCACUACGGUGCUGAAGCAACAAAUGCCCAGCUUCCAGGAAAAGCCUCUAAGCAUCAGGUAACAUCAAAUCGUACCCCAAACCGACACAGGUGGUCAGGUAGAGAAUACCAAGGCGCUUGAGGGAACUCGGGUGAAGGAACUAGGCAAAAUGGUGCCGUAACUUCGGGAGAAGGCACGCUGAUAUGUAGGUGAAGUCCCUCGCGGAUGGAGCUGAAAUCAGUCGAAGAUACCAGCUGGCUGCAACUGUUUAUUAAAAACACAGCACUGUGCAAACACGAAAGUGGACGUAUACGGUGUGACGCCUGCCCGGUGCCGGAAGGUUAAUUGAUGGGGUCAGCGCAAGCGAAGCUCUUGAUCGAAGCCCCGGUAAACGGCGGCCGUAACUAUAACGGUCCUAAGGUAGCGAAAUUCCUUGUCGGGUAAGUUCCGACCUGCACGAAUGGCGUAAUGAUGGCCAGGCUGUCUCCACCCGAGACUCAGUGAAAUUGAACUCGCUGUGAAGAUGCAGUGUACCCGCGGCAAGACGGAAAGACCCCGUGAACCUUUACUAUAGCUUGACACUGAACAUUGAGCCUUGAUGUGUAGGAUAGGUGGGAGGCUUUGAAGUGUGGACGCCAGUCUGCAUGGAGCCGACCUUGAAAUACCACCCUUUAAUGUUUGAUGUUCUAACGUGGACCCGUGAUCCGGGUUGCGGACAGUGUCUGGUGGGUAGUUUGACUGGGGCGGUCUCCUCCUAAAGAGUAACGGAGGAGCACGAAGGUUGGCUAAUCCUGGUCGGACAUCAGGAGGUUAGUGCAAUGGCAUAAGCCAGCUUGACUGCGAGCGUGACGGCGCGAGCAGGUGCGAAAGCAGGUCAUAGUGAUCCGGUGGUUCUGAAUGGAAGGGCCAUCGCUCAACGGAUAAAAGGUACUCCGGGGAUAACAGGCUGAUACCGCCCAAGAGUUCAUAUCGACGGCGGUGUUUGGCACCUCGAUGUCGGCUCAUCACAUCCUGGGGCUGAAGUAGGUCCCAAGGGUAUGGCUGUUCGCCAUUUAAAGUGGUACGCGAGCUGGGUUUAGAACGUCGUGAGACAGUUCGGUCCCUAUCUGCCGUGGGCGCUGGAGAACUGAGGGGGGCUGCUCCUAGUACGAGAGGACCGGAGUGGACGCAUCACUGGUGUUCGGGUUGUCAUGCCAAUGGCACUGCCCGGUAGCUAAAUGCGGAAGAGAUAAGUGCUGAAAGCAUCUAAGCACGAAACUUGCCCCGAGAUGAGUUCUCCCUGACCCUUUAAGGGUCCUGAAGGAACGUUGAAGACGACGACGUUGAUAGGCCGGGUGUGUAAGCGCAGCGAUGCGUUGAGCUAACCGGUACUAAUGAACCGUGAGGCUUAACCUU